UACGUAGGGUGCGAGCGUUAAUCGGAUUUACUGGGCGUAAAGCGUGCGUAGGCGGCUUUUUAAGUCGGAUGUGAAAUCCCCGAGCUUAACUUGGGAAUUGCAUUCGAUACUGGGAAGCUAGAGUAUGGGAGAGGAUGGUAGAAUUCCAGGUGUAGCGGUGAAAUGCGUAGAGAUCUGGAGGAAUACCGAUGGCGAAGGCAGCCAUCUGGCCUAAUACUGACGCUGAGGUACGAAAGCAUGGGGAGCAAACAGG
rnacentral:rRNA from 1 species